GCUAAAAAUUCCCUUCAGUAUAGAAGAAACUUUUGUAUCAUCAAUUUAACAUUUUUGCUCUGGAAUAUAUCUUCUGUCUUUUUUGUCAAUGAAUCGGUCUCAUGUUCUUAUUUUGCAGAUCCAUGCCAUGUUUGAUUUGGGUUAUCUGUGGAGAUUUCAUCUACGACAAAGUCAUAAAUUUGGUUACAGUACAUUUUAUGUAGAGGACUGAAACUGAACUAUUUUUAAUUAUGCUAUUGAAUAAUUAUCUGUUAGACCAAUCUUUGUUGAAUCUCCAUUUGAAUAUAUUUUGAACUUUGAUCUGAACUUAAUAGCUUGAUCUUUUUGCUUAGCAUACUGAAUAUUUGCCACCAUAUUCUUCUUUAAGAGUGGGUUAGUGCAAGUUGUUACCUUUUUGUUUAUGGGAUCAAAAUUUAUAUCUUUUGUUUGAUACUAAUUAUAUCUAGAUGAAAGGUCAAUUUGUAGUUUAUUACUUUACUUUCUUUGACAAAAUGAAAAGUCACAAGAAAAUUAUAUAUUUGAAGUUUGGUUUCUGAUCUUACUUUUCUUGAAAGACUAAUUUGUAGUUUAUUUUACUAUUUUAAUUAAUUUCCAAAAUUUUUAUUUAAAUUUUUUGUAAAAGUUAUUUGUUUAUCUGAUCAUUUGUUACAAAUGAAUGUGCCUUCAAGAAUUAGCACGUAAGAGGGAGAGAGAAUUUUUUAAGCAUUUUAAAACAUGAAUAUGUGAAUUAUGAAGUACUUCAGUAUAUCAGUGCUUUUUUUUUGUUUUAAUUGGAUACCUUUUUGGCUUUACUAUGUUUAUUGAUAUGCUAUUCAUUUCGAAUUGGAUGAUGAUGCUAAUGGGUCAUUUAACAAUCCAUCUUAGUUCUCUUUCUCUUUAAUGUUUUUUUUUUAUUGCAUUAUGUGUUGCUCAUUGAGUAGAGGAAGAUGGUCAGUAUUUAUUAUGUGCUUUCUGCAUAAAGCAUAUGGUUUUCUCUUGGUUUUAAAAUUUCUUUCUUAGCACGUAUAUCUGAUUUUUUAUUUUUUUAUUUCUAACAAGUUCUUUAUGUCUGCUGUCAUAAUAUUUUAGUCUGGAAGUCAUUUUUAAAAUUCCAUUCAUUCUUAUGAUUGGGAAUAUCACAAUGAGCAGCACUGAAGCAUUAAAAGCAGAAUUAUGUGAAAAGGCAUUAAUAAUAACUCAUUAUUAUCGUAAUUUGCAAUGGUCAGCAUUAAACUUUUAAUUAAGGUGAGGAGAUAGAUUUGCUGAUAGAUAAAUGUCUUAUACGAUGAUCUUUUCCUUUUUAAAGCAUUUUAUGGUGGCAUUAACACUCUUUAAAUUGACAUUUGUUAUUUAAGUUUGAUGUUUUUUCAUUCCUUUAACAAUUGAUAAAUAAUAGAUGAGACUAUUGGAUAGCAAAACCAAUCUUUGGUCUAACUUUUAAUUUCCGGCAUUAACACUCUUUAAAUUGACAUUUGUCAUUUAAAUUUGAUAUUUUUCCAUUCCUUUAACAAUUCAUAAAUAAUAGAAGGGACUAUUGGACAUCAAGACCAAUCAUUGGUCUAACUUUUAAUUUCUAACAUUAAAUGUUUCAUAAAUAUAUUAAUUCAUUAAUAUAACUUAACCAUCUGUAAUUUAUUGUUCAAUCUUAUUUGGUAACAAAGGAUAAAGAGAGCGGCGGUGUUCUAUUGUUCUAAUAAUUCCACCAUUUUUUUUUGAACGGAAGAGCUCAACACAACAAGUGGAGCAUAGGAAAAACGAAGAAGACACAACUAGUAAAAGUACAUUAUAAAAACUAAAUGAUCCCCACUGUCAUCUUCGGCAUUGCCAUCAACAACAGAAGGGAUCCACACCUAUCCACUCCUUAUAGUGCAUGGAGGACUGGUAGAUGAUAUCUUCAACCCCUUUUCCUUUAUUCUGAAAAAUCCACAUAUUCCUUUCCAGCCAAAUAUUCCAGAUAAUGGUACAGAAACAUACCAUCCACCUCUUGCGCUCCUGUUUACUAGUUGAUACCUCAGUCCAACUUUGAAAAUGCUCCUUUAGCGUUCCCGGGCAUGACCAUGGCCUCCCAGCAAAACUUAGUCAUGCACACCACACCUGCCAUGAAAAUCCACAACUAAGAAACAAGUGGUAUCCAGAUUCAAUACUUUCAUUACACAGCACACAGACAACAUCCUCCUGGUUAACCACUCCUAGUCGACUCAGCCUUUCUUUCGUAUUAACCCUUCUAGUCAAGACAAACCAUAUGAACAAUUCAACUCUAGGUGGGACUAAGUCCUUCCAAACUAUUCUAGUAAAACUGUAUCUCGCUAUAUCCUCUGGAAGCAUUUCCACCUGCAUAACCUGCACAAAGGAAUUAGUAGAAAAUACAUCUUGUUUAUCAAAUUUUCACACAACUCUGUCCUCUCUCCCAUAUACUAAAUUAACCAGUCUUAAAGUUUCAUGCAACUGGUUGACUAAGUCCAACUCCCAUUGGAAUAGCUCUCGCCUCCAUUGGAAGUUCCAUCUCCACUCUAACCCGUCCCAAAACCCACAGUCCCAUGACAGAUCCUCUUUGGUUUGAAACUGAGAAGAGUCUUGGAAAGAGAUCUUUCAGGGUCCCAUCACGCAACCAUACAUCCUCCCAGAAUCGAGUUCCUCUCCCGUCGCCAAUCUCCAUAGACAGUCCAUUGAUCAUUUUCUGUUUUAGUCGUUGAUCCUUGAACUGUAGCUGGCAUAUAUCUUUCCAUGGCCCCCCGGAUAGGUAGCACCUGGGAUGACAACAUCACAUUGGGGUUGAGGUUGUUACAAGAGCAUACUACCUUCUUCCAUAAGGGGCAAUCCUCCUUCGAAAACCGCCACCACCAUUUAAAGAGCAGGGCUGUGUUACGCACCAUGGCAUCACCAACACCUAACCCUCCUAGCUUUUUGGGGGUCUGAACCACCUCCCAUCUAACCAUUGCCAUACCAAGCCUACCAUCCUCUUUACUCCAUAGGAAUCUUCUCUGUAAGGAAAUCAGUUUUUCUGCAACAGCCUUUGGCAUUUUAUACAAACUCAAAUAAUAGACUGGCAGACUAUUCAAAACAGAUUUAAUCAGCACCAGUUUACCAGCUUUAUUUAGAAUCUUGGCCUUCCAAAUGCUCAACUUCUGCUCCACCUUGUCUAUAAUGGGCUUCCAAAUCCUUAUCUUGACCGUCAUAGAAGAAUUGUUUUAUUUUUUGCUUAGUAGAUAGUCGACAUAACGACAUUGUUUAAUUCCAUGAAUUAAUUCUAAUUGCUUAAAUUUAUUAUUUGCUUUAAUUUCUUUCUUCUUUUGGUUUUAAUUAUUUGUUAUGUGAUCAUAAUUGAUGUGAUUUAGUGUUUCAGUGUUAUCAUGUUUGUGUAUAUGCAAAAUGGGAUGAAAAUUUGUGUUCAUCAGUGAUGUUUUUACUGGACUGAGUGAAAAAAAAAAAGAAAAACAAUUAAGCUCUUUCAUUUCCUUUUUUGCAGCUUCGAUACUUCUAUAAGCAGCCACCACUAUGUGGAAACUUAGUCCAUAGUGUGCAUAAUUUAAUUAUAAGAUUUUCUUCCUAAAAUUUCUGCAGUUACAAUUGGUUUAGACAAUUCUUAGGCCUAUGUUAUGGAACUUCACGAAACUACUUGGAUUUUUAGGCUGAAAAUAGAGAAAACAAAUGCUUAUUCCACAGGCUGUUAUUUUUUUCUCAUGAAGUUUUCUCUUAUAUUAAGAUAAAUUCCUCUUCUAUUUAUGUUGUGUUUAUGUUAAACAAACUUGCCGCAAAAAAUGCCACCAUGUAUCUGUGAAUUUUCAGGUUCAUAUGUUUUCUACAGAGAAUGGAGUAUGUGUUGCAUGGAGUCAUUGCUUUGAGAAUAAUGACUGCUGGUGGUAUACUCUCAGGAGUGUAUCUAGCAUCACAUGUUUUACAGAUUAAGAAGCAAGGUGAUUCUGCUGAUUUAAUUGUCACACUUCAAACUAUGACAAGAUAAUUGUUUUAAGUAGAAUUAUGUAAUUCCUUUUUUCGUUAAACAAAAUUUUGGCCAUUGUCUUAAAGCAUGAUUUUUUUUUAAUUUUCAAUUUCUGUAGAAUUUAUUUUUCUUUUGGCUUAAAAAUAUUUUAAGAGUUUAGCUAAAAAGUGUAUUAAGGGUAGUUGUUAAAUUUACAAGUCCUAAAACUUAAUUUUAUUUUAAUAAAUGUAUUACAAACUUCAAGUCUACAAAAUUGUCCACAAAGAUUAUUUUUUCUGUCACCACCUUAACAUUUAAUAGAAACAAAUUAAUUGUGAGAUCAAAAUCAUUCUUCUUGAGUUGUUUUUGUAUCAAAAUUUGAAUAAAUAUGAUCAAUUACAUGAACUAUAUACAAAUUUUAUGAAAUCUAGAAAAUUUAUUAAAUAUUUUUUGUUUUGUGGUUAACUUCAAUAAGCAGGUUAAACCCUAGAAUUUGAAGCUUCUUGAGUUUGAAAUUUGAUCUUAGCAAGCUUAAACUCUAACCAUUAUGACUGGAGUUACUCCAGUAGCACUAUAAGUCUUUUUUUAAAGGUGGUUAUUAAGGUGUUGAUGUCCAAGAAGUAAAUACAUUAUCUUUUUUAUACAAUGUUGCUAAUUAAAUAAGGUGGUUAUUAUUUUGACAAUCUAAAAGUUUCUCCAAUAAUUUCUGUGAUACUGAAAUGGAUGCUGAAAUGGUUGCUCAUACUGGAGGUUACCAUUGCAAGAGUGCGAGGUGGGACGUGGUUGUUCCUUCAGGUGUUGGUUCCUGAUAAUGCAGUUGCC